rnacentral:lncRNA from 1 species
CUCUCUCUCUGCUGGCUGGCUGGCUGUCUAGGCCUAUGUGUCACCACCUGGCACUUGCUCUCAUUGUCUUGUGCGAGUGCUUUUGCCAGCAGUUUGGAGUGCAGACCCAUCACCCCUCACUGGGGCCCCCCAUGAGGCCUGCCUGACUGCAUGCCCCACCCGGGCCCAUGGCAGCGCACCUGGAAGCGGACGGCUGAGGACUUGUUGCAGUGCAUGGAGAUGGGCGCGAAGCUGUACAGGGCCUUCAGUACGUCGCGGUUGAAGGAGUUCCAGGGAACAGAGGGAUCCCGAAGCCCCCCUGCAAGUUGGAGGAGACCCGUCAGCCCCGGGCCAUGCCACGCAGACGCUGCCAUCCAGCAGCUUUCGCCGCACCCACGUGUACACUGCGUCCACUCGUCUGUUCACUGCACCGUGCCAGGCAUGCUCUGGGGAACCGAGUCCCUGCCCUCAAGGAAUUGCCACCAUUGGCAGGAGAGACAGGCAGUGAGUGAGUGAGUCAACCAGGAAAUUCGUAUCAGGUACUGAUGAUGCUGUGAGGAAAAAUGAAACGGGACAAGCGGAUGGGGUGUUAUUGUGCCCAUUUUAUGGGUACAGAAACUGAGUCUCAGAGCAGGCAAGGGGAUGCCCCGUGGUGGCCACAGCAUCGGUGGCACAGCCUGAGUGCACCCAGCGUCCCGGCCAUUGUCUGGAAGCUGUCCCCAUGACCUCCAGCGAGAGCCUGGAGCCAAGGACUGCAAGGGAGGCCCUUUCCACUGCAGCCCCGCACCGUCCACCAGUCAUUUCUCCAACGUGGCUCUGAGGGGAGCAGGGACUCUAUAAGACAGGACCGUGACUAGAGGCCGCGACAACCUCCAGCCUCUCACGGCAACCCUACGGCCUGCCAUCGCAUGGGAGGGGCAGGGCAGGCACCCUCUGAGUCCCCACUGCCAGCUUUAAGCCCCUCGCUGGGUUGCUGCUCUUGGAGCUGGUGACCGUGGAGCCUCAGCCAUAGGAGGAAGAACAGCAGCAGCUUGGAGGAGCUGGGGCUGGAGAGAGCAAAGCUCCCCCGGCAGCAGCUCAGAUCCCAGCAGGUCAGGGGCCGGGACAUGACGCCCUGGCCACCCUUGCCCCUCCAGGCUCCCCGCUGUUUGUGAAGCUGCUGUGGGCCUGGGGAUUUCAUCUGGCUGGUGGGGAAGAAAGGCAAUCUUUACUCUAUGGCAGAACAAAGGGACUGGGCAAAGCUUGGCGUGGCACUUACACCAGCUGCCGCCCCCUCCUCCCGUGCAGACAAAGAGCAUGGGACAGUUCUGCCCAGAGACGAAACCUGGCACCUGUUGGCCAGGACGCGUUUUUGCCAGCAUUGUUCUCUGGGCCGGAUUCCUCCUUUCCCAGCUUUUCUCAUCCAUCCCGCCCCCGUCAGAUCGGGACGAUUGCCCUCCUGUGUGAGUUCCUGUCCCUCCCCACCCUCUGCCACCACAGACAUCAAAAGGGAACUGAGUCCGACCCUGUGUAGAAUCUGUUCUCCUCUUUCACCUGGGGAAGGAAAUCGAAUUUCAAAGGCCACUGUGUCUUGGAUCAGCAGGCGAGGGCUUGUCAGAGUGUGAGAAGCUCAGGUCCACCUGGGGAGCUGCCCUCCCCUUUGAUCCCACCUGGUGCUGUGAUGUGGCCACUGCCAAGAGGACGACAUGGGCCAGGGAAGCCACAGAACUGCCCACGGGGACGCUGGCACCGAGGGCCUCAACCUGCAGAACGGCCAUCUGAGAUGUCCGCGGUGCUCACCAGGCCUGGCAGCCCCGAACGCCCUGGGACGUGGCGUCAGUUCCGCCGCCGUGAAGCCAGAUUGGGCAGGGAAUAUGCAGUCUCCUCGCUGGAUGCCCGGCAAGACCCUCCCAUCCCUGGCCCCGGGGCCGCGCCUGCAGAAUGGGGCUGAUGGUGGGGACUUGCCUGGGGUGCUCCACCUGCAGAGCCCUCUGUUUGCGAGCCCACUCAGUCACUGCACAGGUGCUUAGCCGAGAGGCGGCACAGUCGGGGUUGGCACCUGCACCCAUACCAGCCCUGCCUCCUGUUCGCUGUGUGGCCUGAGUGGCUGGACCUCACUGUAUCUCCUGGUGGGAUUGCUCAGAGGUCUCAGCAAGGCUUGGUGUGGUUAGGAUGAGUUAUUAGAGCAGUGCUGAGCUGUGGCAAGCACCCGACAUCAGCCACUGCUGUGAUAUACUGAGCACCUCCUCUAGAGAGAAUAAAGGACUGACAAAGCUG